AGAGUUUGAUCCUGGCUCAGGAUGAACGCUAGCUACAGGCUUAACACAUGCAAGUCGAGGGGAAACGACAUCGAAAGCUUGCUUUUGAUGGGCGUCGACCGGCGCACGGGUGAGUAACGCGUAUCCAACCUGCCCACCACUUGGGGAUAACCUUGCGAAAGUAAGACUAAUACCCAAUGACGUCUCUAGAAGACAUCUGAAAGAGAUUAAAGAUUUAUCGGUGAUGGAUGGGGAUGCGUCUGAUUAGCUUGUUGGCGGGGUAACGGCCCACCGAAGGCUACGAUCAGGUAGGGGUUCUGGAGAGGAAGGUCCCCCACAUUGGAACUGAGACACGGUCCAAACUCCUACGGGAGGCA
rnacentral:rRNA from 1 species